CUGAAUGGCAGUAGUCAUUUUUCACAGCUCAUCAGAGUCUCUGUAUAUUUCAGAUUGUUUCCUGUGUGUCCAUCACUUCGAGAUUUAUCAGCACUGAAUUCCAGCUGGCACAGAGAGGCUGUGAUGCAGUGGGCUGUGUGGUUUUACUCGAGUACACGAGGACUGUGCUGUCACUUGCUUCAGAAAGGCCUCAGCCUGACCUGGCCAUCUAGUGAAACCAAAUGGGCUGCAACAGAUUUGUGACCAUUUAUUCAAGAACAGUUUUCUGCAUCUUUGCACUGGAAUCCGUUCUCACCUGCUCCCCCAAGAGCUUCCCAGCUGAGCAGAGCCUGCACGGUGGGACCGGAGCAUCGCACACCCAUGGGCCAGGCAGUGACAGCACUGAACUGCUCCUGGCCUACUUAAGUUGUAAAACAAUUUAGUUUUCUUCAGCAUGUUCAGAGAGAAAAAUGUCACUGUUGCUUUUCCCUGCAGAUGUGUCCGUGCACCUCUAACGGCUACAUCUGCCUCUGUCAACCUAUGGAAUUGAGGAUGCUUUUCACCAUAAUCAAGCUGUGUAUAAUCAUAAUUAUAAUCAUAAUAGAAUGAUGAUGAGAACAAUAAUAAAUAUCAAGGAGCUGC
rnacentral:lncRNA from 1 species